CAAGUCGAACGGCAGCACAGAGGAGCUUGCUCCUUGGGUGGCGAGUGGCGGACGGGUGAGGAAUACAUCGGAAUCUACUCUGUCGUGGGGGAUAACGUAGGGAAACUUACGCUAAUACCGCAUACGACCUACGGGUGAAAGCAGGGGAUCUUCGGACCUUGCGCGAUUGAAUGAGCCGAUGUCGGAUUAGCUAGUUGGCGGGGUAAAGGCCCACCAAGGCGACGAUCCGUAGCUGGUCUGAGAGGAUGAUCAGCCACACUGGAACUGAGACACGGUCCAGACUCCUACGGGAGGCAGCAGUGGGGAAUAUUGGACAAUGGGCGCAAGCCUGAUCCAGCCAUACCGCGUGGGUGAAGAAGGCCUUCGGGUUGUAAAGCCCUUUUGUUGGGAAAGAAAUCCAGCUGGUUAAUACCCGGUUGGGAUGACGGUACCCAAAGAAUAAGCACCGGCUAACUUCGUGCCAGCAGCCGCGGUAAUACGAAGGGUGCAAGCGUUACUCGGAAUUACUGGGCGUAAAGCGUGCGUAGGUGGUCGUUUAAGUCCGUUGUGAAAGCCCUGGGCUCAACCUGGGAACUGCAGUGGAUACUGGGCGACUAGAGU
rnacentral:rRNA from 1 species